UUUACUCAACCCGUUUGCUUGGACAGGCCUGAUGUCUUCAGGUAGGUACUGGAUGUGAAGCAGUGCACUCACUCUCCCUUGCCCUCUCUUUUUGUCUUUCAUUUUCUUUAGUUUUUUUUCCAGCAGAGUUGGACCAAAAAAGCCUGGAAGGAAUUGAUAUUUUCCAUUGGAUGUAGAACUUGGACCUCUGUUUUAUAGUUGUUGUUCCCUCUCAUUAUUUGAUUAAUCCUGAAGUCUAAGAGAACCAAAAUGAAACGGAGAAAAAUAUAUUAGUGCUGAGCUCAGCAGAUUUAUUUUUUUCCUAAUGAAUAGAUACGUUUAGAUUAAGCCAAAGAGACCAUUUUUAUUGCUGUUCGAAACAUCUUUGAUUGAGUGAAGCUAAAUGGUUAUGCUUCUCUGUAUUAAUUGGUGCAGUAUUUCCAUAUUCCACCACACGAAUUGAAAUCAGAUGAUCUCAUCGUGCAACUAGUUGCUGUUCUAGAGCCAAUGUUUUAAACUGCAACAAUAAAACACACCUUACCAGUUGGAUGUCAGGGAGAAAAACUUUUUCUUCACUUUGAGGAAGUUCUUUUUAAAGAGAACAUAAAAUCCAUUUCUUUUCUUUCAGCUCGGUGAGACUUGGAAAUGCUUAUAGACGAUAUGCUAGCCAAAGGCAGUAAAAGGUACGUUUUCACAUUUAGCCUCAACAUCAAGGAGUCUUAGGUUUGAGAGGAGACGUCGCCACGUAUGACCUCACGAAGCUCUGAAUCAAAGGUUAAAUUAGUAGCCAAGUAGGAGCCGCUAAACAUCUGACUUGACAUCUGAUAUGCUGCAGUUGACCUCAACACAGCUCAUCUAACCUUUGGCCCAAAUAAAAGGUGUGAUAACCUAGAUGGGUCCAGUUCUGACCGAGGUUCAUGUGAAGGGACCCCAUGGCUUCCAGAUGUCACAUGACGGCAAGAAAAGAGAAAGUCCCGUGAUACAUCUGUGGGAAAUGUACUUCACAAGAGUUCAACCAUGAGAUUCCCAAACUGCCUCUUCCCACGUUGACACAAAUACUUGGGCCCAUGUGACAUCCUGUGUGGACGAGGUGAACAAUAACGGACUCCUACGUCAAGACCUGGGAACUGCUCCGUGAGAGAUGUACCAUCACACCUCAAACACAUCAAGCCAGUUCCGCAGUCGGCUCUUCAGUGUUUACUGUCUCGUCACUAAGGUUCAUUUCCCGCAAUACUGGAAAAAAAUGUCGCUGAUAAUUUUUUUUUCUCUGUGAAUACUUC